rnacentral:sRNA from 1 species
CCCGUCUAUUCAGAUCAGCACGGAGUUUUCCAACAAGUUAUCCAUUAGCUUGAGAAUAACGGGAGAUGCUUCCAUGGGGGUAGAGUACAAAGGAAACACAUACUUCAAUGAGACACUUGAACUGUUUUUAAGCGCAUACCAAUCGUUUGAGUUGUCUGAGUGUGAACGCAAAUCAUUCCGUGGGUCUCUGACAGGAACCCACAUUACUAGCACGAGUCCCAUUGGCGUCGUUUCCGGCAACUGUGAAGCCGUCGUUACAACAGAAGCGUGUGAUACGGAGCAAGAUGCGACUGAGAUGUCCAAAGACAUCGCAGCAGGUCAGAUAGAACUACAAUAUGGACAACUCUCUGCGUUUCAAUACGAUUUCACAGUUACGAAUUUAAUGCUCGGAAUUAUAUUUAAUUCUGCAGGCCCAUUAACUCUUUCUCAUGUUUAUAUAUGUUUAUAUAU